AAGAUUUUCGGCCCGUAUAUGGGUCCAAAACACACCUUUGGCUGUGCGCUCCUGCUGCACGCCGGGUGACAACCUCUUCACACCUGUGCGCCUCACGGUUGUGUCCCAGGACGCUUCCGCAUUUUUCACAUACAACCACCAGUCUAGAAUGUGACAAUACAAUAUAAAUAA
rnacentral:misc_RNA from 1 species